ACCAAAGGCACUUAAAAAUUUAUUUGAGUCUUAAAAAAUUAGUGAUUCACGAUCAAUGUAUAAAGGUAAUAUUCCUUACUAAGUAAAGUGUCUGCGAGUUUAACAAGGGCGAAGUUUACGACGUCAGGAGUGUCUUUCAUAGAGAGCAAUUUCAAAAAGAGAUUGGAAUAAGCAGUGGUAUCCUUUUUAAAAAAGUUAAUGAAUAGUCAUUAAUGGUGAGAGAAUAAAGACUUACCUCUUCGGCUGUUUUCACAUAAGCCGAUAAUGGUUUGCCUGUGAGAUUCUCAAUUUCUUGAAGUUCGUUUUCCUCUAAAGAACCAGAUCUUUGAUAUCCCUGCCAAGGAAUAGCAACACAACGCACAUUAUUGAUAAUUUCGUCGACUUGUGAGUUAUCUAAUUCAACGGGUGGAGGGGAUGCAGCAUUCUGACUUGGUUAGAUUUCUCGUGGUUAACCGGUGGAAAUAAAACAUACACUUAAUUCUAAAUCACUAUUUGACAUUUGAAGCUAAGAUUUAUGUGACGAAAUGAAAACGAAGGGACUAUUAAGACUGACAACACUUGGUGGGUGAACGUGGUAAGAGUGUGUAUUGAGCAAAUUGUACCUUCUUCAAGUUAUCGCAAUAUGCAAGCUUAUACAUAAAUGACGAUAAAAACCCCAUUUAAGAGUUUUUGUUUCUAUUUAAUUUACUUUUCUAACCAUUUAAUUUAAAUCUCCCCUUUGAAG